UCUGAACACGGAAAUAUAGCACCACGCUAUCCUCGCCAUAUAUUGCAAACAUUUUCUGGGUUUUACUCGCGGGAUUCGUCAUGCCAUCUCGAUGUGUAGCGAUAUGAAUUACUCACAGGAAGACUCGAGACUCUAGGAGUGGUCCAAAAAAAAACUUCUGCAAAGCCACGACAGCUUUGAAAACCGACAACAAUGCAACCUUGGUUUUCCAAAGACGAAGCCAAACAUAAAAAAUUAAGUGGCGGAAACCCUCAACACGAUGAAAAAAGCGUUGCAAGUCAGUUGCCACCCAGUUUCCCAAAAUCAAGAGAGAGUGGGUCGAGUCAUAUGAUGACCGAAGUGAUCCAGUGUCCAGCGAUGACGACUGAAGAGAUCCUAUGAGGCCUGCCAGAUGCUGAAUUUCUUCCGUCUGCGACAUCAGAUGACGAUGAUUUAGGAGAAAUAAAUGUAGCAAAUUUUGAUAUGAAAUCAUAAACUAGUCAUAUAUACAGUACACAUUUUUUAAAAGAAAAAUCAAGUUACCUUCAUAUUUUAAUGAUAAUGCAUUAUCUUUGUAUAGAGAACACUUCAUGCUACAGAAAAGAAAUACAUAUUUCCCACUGCCAUUAUCAUUUUUCAAUGUUGCGCUAGUCCGUUGCUAUCCUAACUUUGUGUUGCUUACUAAAAUUAUGCUCUUUGAUGUGUGCCGUUGUGUGCUUGGUAUAAAAUGUUGUGUCACAAUCUGACAACGAAAGCUAAUGCUGAUUCAACAUAAACCUGGUAUCAUUUAUUAUUGCGGCCUAUUGAAUAUUUUUUCAGUAUGUAAUAUAAUUACAAUAUAUUAUAUACCAAUAGAAUACAUUAAACAGUCAACAAAAUGUGUCAAUGUUGUUAACAAUUUAUGGUUUUAUUUUUUUAAUGAAAUUCAUGCCCCUGUCAGUGCUUCAGCCUCCGCAAGUUUGGCUCUCACGUCUGGGAUCUCCUGAUGACACAGGCAUACUCUUGGAAGGGUAAUUACUUGACGGUUUACAGCAACACCUGGAAAAUAAAAUGGUUUUGUCAUUUAUUUUGA